AACACUUUACACAGUGCUUGGUAUACAGUAAAUCUAGGUAAUGGUUUUGGCAAGGAUUUUAUGUUUAUGUUUUGUUUUUACUUCUUCCCAGGAGACUCCUGCUUUCAAGUCAGUUCAUUAAUCAUUAUCAUUCUCAUCUACAGGAGGUAGGAAUUAGUAUCCUCAUUUUGUAAAUGAGACUACUGAAGAUGAAUGAGAUUAAAUGAUUUGCCCAAGGCCUCCAUGUUGGACUGUGAUUUUGUAAAAAGGCAGAGCAAAUUCUGUUAGUUCUACAUAGGAGAUGGGAGAUCACAGCAGGUUGAUAGAAUCUAGAAGGGGCAAAAUGGAGAUGAGAACUUAGAAGUAGAAAUGGAAACAAUGAAGAUGUCAAGAAAGGCAAAGUCAAGACAGGUGAGAGCAAGACCCAGCUUUGGGGAUUUGGAUUGGCAGGGCCAACCCUGCAAACCAGCUCAGCCAGAAGAGGGGCAAGGCACCUUCAUUAUGGGUCAAUGCUUUGGAGUUUGAAGGGGGAAAGUGGAGAGUCCCUGGGAACCUAAGCAACCCAGGAAGAAGAGGGUCAACGAUAGCAGAUCUCAUGGAAAAAGUAUUUAUGGAAGUAUGUUUUUUACCUACUGCCAUUGUGAAUUGUCUGACAGUUUCACCAUGAGGUACAGAGCAGCAGGAAGGCUACUCAGAAUCAAUCUCAUUUCUAGGGUGAAGACUCUUGUAUGUCCUGAUGGGAUGACUUUCAUAGAAGAACAGCCUGCAGAUAAUAAUGGGUUACAAUAAACUUACUGCUCCUGAAAGAACCAGCAACUAGUUUGUCCUAAAACCAAUCUUCCCUUCUGAUAAGUCCCAAUGCCAUGUAACCAUUGGAUACUUAUCAUUUGUUAUAUAAUGAGUUACGUUUUCAUAUAUUUAUGCUAACUCUCUAACUUGACUAUAUAUUCUACCAAGAUAGAAGUAAAUAUUCCUUCCUCAUUUUCCUAUGGAUAUAAAUUUAUACAUUGUACCUAUUUAAUCAAAUACUUGACUGGUUGGAUGCCUGCAUCAAAUGCAGACAUGACUCCCCCCAAAAUGGGCUUUGUAGGAGCCUAUGUGGCAAAGAUUAGGGUUCCUGGGAAGCCGAAUCUGAGAUGAAAUUAAGAGCUCGUUAUGUUAAUUAAGGUGCAUCCUUGGAUUCAACACCUCUCGAGUUAGGGGAAGGAAGCAGACAGGGCAGAGAAAGAAGUUGAGCUUCCACGGAGACCCAUCACAGCUUCAGGGAAUCUCAUAGAGAUUUCUAGAGCUAGAAUGACCCUUCAGCAUUUUCUCAGGUUGAUUUGCAAUGAACAGGCCCUUACACUCCCUCCUUGAUCAGUUUUUGGAUGUGGGCUCCCUGCAAAGGGAUGUGUCCUUGGGCAAGGCUGCUCUCUGUAACAGAGGCAAUCCUUGGAAGGGCAGCCAGCUUAUGGCCAUCUGCCAACAGCUGAAGAGCAACAAGUUCUUCAGUGAAGGAAGGCCUGGCCAGUGCAGCACUGGGCUCAUUUAUAUUAGGUAACUCCAGGUAAAUGUAAGUGCAUUUCUUAGAGGUGGGAUGAGGUACUUUGAAGUACCUCACUGAGUUUAAAGGCAAAGGUAUUGAUACCCACAGUUAUAUUCAUUAUUUCUGGUUGAGUUCAAUUACACUGAAUUUGAGAUGGCAGUUUGAAAAUUUACUGUCAGUAACUACCAAAAAAAAAAAAAAAGAAAGAGCAGAGCAUUGUCUUCGCGAUUAUGCUGGGACACUUUCAGAGUAAGUCCCCAAGAUACAAGGUCCAAAAAAAAUACUGAUGUGGUACUCAAUUGUGGUUCUUUGUAGUCUCUUUCUAAGAGAACUUCAGCUGCAUGUUGGAUGGAAAACAAUAUGAAACAAGGGAGAGAGAGAAGAAACAGAGUUUGUUAAUAUUCUCUGCUAGAUUCUGCAGAGGAAUCACUUUAUUUUGCAGUUGCAACUAGCUUAAGUUAUGUAGCUAGAAGUUAUGUAGCUAGAAAGCUGACUUGCACACUUAAAGCUAAUGAAGAGAAAUGCAGGUUUUCCGGGGUAGGUUCUUGGCACUUCUCUGCAAAUAGGUAAAAGGGAAUGGCAGAUAUUCAAGCUUAGGGAGCAAGCAGCAAGGACAGAGCCUUCCCCGUCUCUGUGUGUUGAAGUCAGCAGAUAGCACACCUGCUGCUGCGUGAGUUCCUUCUGCCAAGCAGAGCAGCACAGCUGCAAGACACCCUGCUUCUGGCUCUGAGCUUUGCUUGUCUUCAGGGAUGGAGCCCCUCCCAAGGCAAGUUCAACUGGGUUCUUUGGCAGCCGAAGUCUACACGGACCCUGCAGGGAGCGGUGGAGAAAAAUAUAUUGAUCAUGAGGAGAGGGCUCACCCCUCACCCGGAGAAGUAGUUGGGGAAGCAAUAUGCGGAAACAAAGCCAUGAAUCUGACAAGAAAUGUACUUAAGAUUGUAUAUAUGGAGAUGAAUACCCAUUGUCCUUUGCACUUUCUGGAUGAUAAAUUAGAAAAGAAAAAUCCAAAGAAUGAAGUUGUGCUAUUUGUCCUCACUUCUGAUUUGGGAAACUAGAGGAAAUUAAGAUGGGAAAAGACCAUGUGAGGACACAGUGAGAAGGAGACCAUAUGCAAAGCAGGAAGGAAGAUCUCACUGGAACCAAAAACCAGCCCUGCUGGCACCCUGAUCUUGGACUUCUAGCCUUUCUCAGAACUGUGAGAAAAUAAAUUUCUGAUGUUUCAGCCACUCAGCCUGUGGUCGUUCGUUAUGCAACCCUAGCAGACAAACAGGGACCUAGCUUAAGAACUGGUUAAAAAUGAGGCCAGUGAGGAAUUUGAUACUCUAUGGUUGGGAAAGUUUGAUUUAUUCUAAGUGCAAUGGAAUGGAGCUGGGGAUAUAAAUUUUGGAUUUACUGGCAGGUGAAACAUAUUUUAAAAUAGACUAAAAUUAAAUUUCCUAAGGACAGAAUGUAGACAGAAAAGAAUCAAGGUUUUAUGACCAAGAUCCAAGUCACUCCAAUAUUUAGAGUUCUCCCAAGCAUUUAAAGAAGGCUUACACUGAUUCUAUGUAGCAUCUUCCAAAAAAUAGAAAUUUUUCACGGCAUCUUUCCAAGUCAUUAUAUGAGGCCAAAAUUACCUUGAUAUUUUAACCAAAGACAGUACGAGAGAAAAAGCUAUAGAUCAAUAUCUCACAUGAACUUAGACAUAACAUUUCUAAACAAAAUAUUAGCAACUUGAAUCCAGAAAUAUGUAAAAAAGAAUUAUGCAACAUAGCCAAGUGGGAUCUAUUCCAGGUAUGCAAUGCUUUUAAAUGUUUGAAAAAAAGUCAAUAUAAUCUACCAUAUUAACAGGCUAAUCACAUGAUCAUAUCAGUUGAUGAAGAUCAAAUCUAUGACAAAAUUUAACACCUAUUUAUAAUUUUAAAGAACCUCUCUAAAAAUAAAAAAUAGAAGGAAAUAUCCUCAAAUUGAUAAAGAUCAUUUACAGAAAACACAAAAGCUAGCAUUACACUUAAUGGUGAGAAUCUGAAUUAGUUCCCCCUAAGAUCAGGACCAGGCAAAGAUGUUUGCUAUCAUCACUCUCAUUCCAUAUAGUGCUGGAAGUUCUCACUGGUGCAAUAAGGCACACAGUGGAAAUAAAGACACUGAAAUUUGUGUUAGUUAAUUUUGUGUUGCUAUAACGGAAUGCCACAGAAUGGAUAAUUUAUUAAGAAAAUUGUUUAUUUCUUACAGUUUUGGAGGCUCAGAAGUUCAAGGUGCAGGGGCCCACAUCUGGUGAGGGCCUUCUUGCUGUAUCAUCCCAUGGCAGAAGGCAAAAGGGCAAGAGUACAAGAUAGAAAGAGAAAGAGGGAUGGGGGAAGGUUGAUAUGAGGGAGCCAAACUCAUCCUUUUUAUCCAGAGUCCACUCCUGAGAUAAUUAAGUCACUUCCGCAAUACAUCAUUAAUCCAUUCAGAGCCCUCAUGACCUAAUCACCUUUUAAAGGUUCCACUUAACGCUGUUGCACUGGGGAUUAAGUUUCCAAUACAAAAACUUUGGGGGAUGCAUUCAAACUAUAGCCAGUUUGAAUGGAAAAAAAUUUAACUGUUUCUAUUUCAAAUGACCUAAUUGUAUACAUAGAAAAUUCCAGGCAAUCUUUUAAAAACUCCCAGAACUAAUGUAUAAGUUUAGCAAGAUCAUAGGAUCCAAGACCAACACACAAAAAUCAAUCAUAUUUUUAUACGCUAGCAAUGAAUAUGUGGAAAACACAAUUAAGAAUACAAGACUAUUUACAAUUAUUUCAAAAAAGAGAGAAAUAAUUAGAUACAAAUCUAAUGUACACAUAGGUCCUCUAUGCCAAAAAUGACAGAACCCAAAGGAACAAAUGCAAAGGACCUUUAAAUAAAUGGAGAGAUGACUUUGUAAUGGAUAGAAAGAUUCAACAUAAUAAAGAUGUCAAUUCUCUCCAACUUCAUCAACAGGGGCAAUUCAAUUCAUAUCAAAAUUCCAAAAAAAUUUUUUUGCAGAUAUAGUAAAAUUUAUUUUAAAAUUUAUAUCUCAAGGCACAGGCCAUGGACUAAGUAAAAUUAUUUUGAAAUUGAAUAAAGUUGGGUAGAUUAUUAUAUCCAAUGUUAAGACUUAAUAUAUGGCUACAAUAAUCAAGAGAGUGUGAUAUUGGUUGGGGGAAUAGACUCAUAGAUCAAUGGAACAGAAGAGAUAACCCGAAACUAAACAACACAAAUAUGCCCAGCUGAUUUUUGCAAAGGUUAUAAAAGCGGUUCAGUGGAAGAACAGUUCUUUCAACAGAUGAUGUUAAAGCAAUUAGAUGUCCAAGGGCAAAUAAUUGAGUCUCAACCUAAACCUAAUACUUCAUUCAAAAAUUAAUUCAAAGUGUAUUAUAGAUUUAAAUAUAAAUGUAAAACUAAAAAACUUUAGCAUAAAACAAAGAAAAAUUUUAGGAAGUAGGGCUAGAUGAGAAGAUCUUAGAUAUGACACCAAAAGCACAACUCAUAAGAGAAUAUAAUUACUCUAUUGGACUUCAUAAAAAUUAAAAACUUUUGCUCUGUGAAAGACUACAUUUAGAGAAUGAAAAGUUAAUCUAAAGUUAAUCUACAGACUAGAGGAAAAUAUUUGCAAAUCACAAGAUUCAACAUAGGGCUUCUACUUAGAAUAUAUAAAGAGCUCUCAAGCUGAACAUUAAAAGAAAAAUAAGCAGGCUGGUCUGAAGAUAGCGAAGUAUCUCAACUGAUUGUUCACAGUUCGUUAAGGAUCUUACUCUUUGUUCUACAAUUCCCCCCUUCUCACUACUGCACUUGACUAAUAAAAAAGCAAUUAAAUUAGAAAAUUUAUAAACAAAAUUAACAAAAGAUUUUUAACUGGGGAGAGAUGAUAUCUCAUUUUAGUUUUGAUUUGCUUUUCUCUGAUAAUCAAUGAUGUUGAAUGCGUUUUCACAUGCCUGUUUGACAUUUGUAUGUCUUCUUUUGGGCAACGUCUAUUCAAAUCUUUUGCCCAUUUUUUAAAUCAAAUUAUUAGAUUUUUUCCUGUAAAAUUGUUUGAGCUCCUUAUAUAUUCUAAUUAUUAAUCCCUCAUCAGGUGGGUAGUUUGCAAAUAAUUUCUCCCACUCUGCACAUUGUCUCUUCACUUUGUUUAUUGUUCCCUUCAUUCUGCAGAAGCUUUUAAACUUGAUUUGACCCCACUUGUCCAUAUCCAAAAGACAGGCAAUAACAAAUGCUGGUGAGGAUGUGGAGAAAAGUGAAUGCUUGUACACUGUUUGUGGGAAUAUAAAUUAGUAUAACCACUCUGAAGAAUAGUUUGGAGGUUCCUCGAAAAAUUAAAAAUAGAGCUACCAUAUGAUCCAGCAAUACCAUUCCUAGGUAUAUGACCAAUAGAAGGGAAAUCAAUAUAUUGAAGAGAUACCUGCACUCCCAUGUUAGCUGAAACACCGUUCAUAAUAGCCAAGAUUUGGAAGCAAUCUAAGUGUCCAUCAAUAGAUGAAUGGAUAAAGAAAGUGUGGUACUUAUACACAAUGGAGAAUUAUUUAGCCACGGAAAAGCAUGAGAUCCUGUCAUUUGCAACAACAUGGAUGGAACCGGAGAUCAUUAUGUUAAGUGAAAUAAGCCAGGCACAGAAAGACAAAGAUCACAUGUUCUCACUUAUUUGUGGGAGCUAAAAUUUAAAACGAUUGAACUCGUAUACAUAGAGUGUAGAGGAUGGUUACCAGAGGCUGGGAAGGGUAGUUGGGGUUGAUAGGGAAGAUGAAAAUAGCUAAUGGGUUAAAAAAAAUGAAAGAAUGAAUAAUACCUGGUAGUUGAUAGCAAAACAGGGUUACUAUAGUCAAAAUAAUUUAAUUGUAUAUUUUCAAAUAACUAAAAGAAUGUAAUUGGAUUGUUUGUAACACAAAGGAUAAAUGCUUAAGGAGAUGAAUACCCCAUUUACCCUGAUGUGAUUAUUAUAUGCAUUGCAUACCUGUCAUCUGGAUGUCCAAGCAGAAGUUUGCUGCAGAGGUGGGGCCUCAUGAAGAACCUCUGCUAGGGCAGUGUGGAAGAGAAAUGUGGGGUUGGAUGCCCCAGAGUCCCCACUGGGGCACUGCCUAGUAGAGCUGUGAGAAGAGAGCCACCAUCCUCCAUACUCCAGAACGAUAGAUCCACCAACAGCUUGCACUAUGCGCCUGGAAAAGCUGCAGACAUUCAACACUAGCCCCUGAAAGCAGCCAGGAUGGGGGCUGUAUCCUGCAAAGCCACAGGGGAGGAGCUGCCCGAGGCUGUGGGAGCUCACCUCUUGUAUCAGCAUGACCUGGAUAUGAGACAUGAAGUCAAAGGAGAUCAUUUUGGAGCUUUAAGAUUUAAUGAUUGCCCCUUGGGAUUACAGACUUGCAUGGAGUCUUAGCCCUUUUGUUUUGGCCAAUUCCUCCCAUUUGGAACAGGUAUAUUUACCCACUGCCUGUACCCCCAUUAUAUCUAGGAAGUAACUCACUUGCUUUUGAUUUUACAGACUCAUAAGUGGAAGGGACUUGCUUUGUCUCUGAUGAUACUUUGGACUGUGAACUUUUGAGUUAAUACUGAAAUGAGUUAAGACUUUGGGGGACUGUUGGGAAGGCAUGAUUGCUUUUGAAAUGUGAGAACAUGAGAUUUGGGAGGGGCCAGGGGCUGAAUGAUAUGGUUUGGUUGUGUCCCCACCCAAAUCUCACCUUAAAUUGUAAUAAUCCCCAUGUGUCAAGGGUGGGGCCAGGUGGAGAUAACUGGAUCAUGGGGGCGGUUUUCCCCAUACUGUUCUCAUGGUAGUGAAUAAGUCUUACGAGUCUGAUGGUUUUAUAAAUAAGACUUCCCCAUACAAGCUCUCUUUUGCCUGCCACCAUGUAAGAUGUGACUUUACUCCUCAUUUGCCUUCCGCUAUGAUUAUGAGGGCUCCCUAGCUAUGUGGACCUGUGAGUCCAUUAAACCUCUUUCCUUAAUAAAUUACCCAGUCUUGGGUGUGUCUUUAUUAGCAGUGUUUGAACAGACAAAUAUACAA
rnacentral:lncRNA from 1 species